CCUACGGGGGGCAGCAGUAGGGAAUAUUGCUCAAUGGGGGAAAUCCUGAAGCAGCAACGCCGCGUGGAGGAUGAAGGUUCUCGGAUUGUAAACUCCUUUUGUUAGAGAAGAUAAUUACGGUAUCUAACGAAUAAUCACCGGCUAACUCGGUUCCAGAAGCCGCGGCACCACGGAGGGUGCAAGGGUUACUCGGAAUCACUGGGCGUAAAGAGCGCGUAGGCGGGAUAGCAAGUCAGAUGUGAAAUCCUAUGGCUUAACCAUAGAACUGCAUUUGAAACUGUUAUUCUAGAGUAUGGGAGAGGUAGGUGGAAUUCUUGGUGUAGAGGUAAAAUCCAUAGAGAUCAAGAAGAAUACUCAUUGCGAAGGCGACCUGCUAGAACAUAUCUGACACUGAUGCGCGAAAGCGUGGGGAGCAAACAGGAUUAGAUACCCGAGUAGUC
rnacentral:rRNA from 1 species